rnacentral:rRNA from 1 species
CUAGCGACAGGCCUAACACAUGCAAGUCGAGGGGCGAGCACAAGGAGCAAUCUGAGGUGGCGACCGGCGCACGGGUGAGUAACACGUAUGCAACCUGCCUGUAAGCGGGGAAUAACCCGUUGAAAGACGGACUAAUACCGCAUAAUACUAAAUUACUGCAUGGUAAUUUAUUUAAACAUUUAUGGCUUACAGAUGGGCAUGCGCAUGAUUAGCUAGUUGGAGAGGUAACGGCUCCCCAAGGCAACGAUCAUUAGGGGUUCUGAGAGGAAGGUCCCCCACACUGGUACUGAGACACGGACCAGACUCCUACGGGAGGCAGCAGUGAGGAAUAUUGGUCAAUGGACGAGAGUCUGAACCAGCCAAGUCGCGUGCAGGAAGAAUGUUCCCUAUGGAUUGUAAACUGCUUUUGCAGGGGAAUAAAGUGCAUCACGUGUGAUGUUUUGUAUGUACUCUGCGAAUAAGGAUCGGCUAACUCCGUGCCAGCCGCAGC